GAGCUUGCUCUCUGAUUUUAGCGGCGGACGGGUGAGUAACACGUGGGCAACCUGCCCUACAGAUGGGGAUAACUCCGGGAAACCGGGGCUAAUACCGAAUAAUCAGUUUGUCCGCAUGGACAAACUCUGAAAGACGGUUUCGGCUGUCACUGUAGGAUGGGCCCGCGGCGCAUUAGCUAGUUGGUGGGGUAAUGGCCUACCAAGGCAACGAUGCGUAGCCGACCUGAGAGGGUGAUCGGCCACACUGGGACUGAGACACGGCCCAGACUCCUACGGGAGGCAGCAGUAGGGAAUCUUCCACAAUGGACGAAAGUCUGAUGGAGCAAUGCCGCGUGAGCGAAGAAGGUUUUCGGAUCGUAAAGCUCUGUUGUAAGGGAAGAACAAGUACGGGAGUAACUGCCCGUGCCAUGACGGUACCUUAUUAGAAAGCCACGGCUAACUACGUGCCAGCAGCCGCGGUAAUACGUACGUGGCAAGCGUUGUCCGGAAUUAUUGGGCGUAAAGCGCGCGCAGGCGGCUCUUUAAGUCUGAUGUGAUAGCCCACGGCUCACCCGUGCAGGGUCAUUGGAGACUGGAGAACUUGAUUA
rnacentral:rRNA from 1 species